rnacentral:SRP_RNA from 16 species
GGGUUUGAGUGUGCAACAGAGAUCCAGCGGCAGAUGGGGCAUGGGGCAACGGGCAGGCUGGAAACGGAGC